CCAGACAAGAUUUCUGAAAAAAUAUUUCCAAGUUUAUAAACAAGCUGCUGGCCAGUAUGCUUUGAAUUUCACGUAACCCAGGGUUAAGGUAACCGGCUUUUGAACAACCGACCCAAGAUGUAAGUUAAUAUUAUAGUUAAGUUUUUGUACCUUACGGAAAAGGUAGGACGGACAUUUUGCCGACGGACGUUUUGCCGAACGCACCUUUUGCCGACGGACGUUUUGCCGAACGGACAUGUUGCCGAACGGACAGUUUGCCGAAAAUAGAGAUAUAUUCUGAACUUUAUAGGUUCGCUUACACGGUUAAAAUUUCCAGCUGUGAGUAAAGUCAUUGUCGAUUUUGGUGGCAGAAACUUUGAUAGUGAAGUAUAUAGUUUCGUUUUAUAUUCUUUCAAGUUUUUGACAGGUUUACCGAAAUUUCGCGAUAUAAAGAAUAACAUCAUUCAAUAUCAUUGAUGAAUGCGAUUUCCCCGCAUGUGAAUGUAUUCUAUGAUUCUCGAAGUGAAAUUUGCUUACGUCGUUGUCUUUGUAUACGCUUGUUGUUUACGACCUGACGUCAAAACACGUUCCUAACCAAUGAGUCAUCCGCUGCACAAAAAAGCUACCAAUAGUCAAUAUUGUUAUGUACUGCAAACGACCCAUCAUGCACUGCUAAUUCAACGACCAUGCAUAUAAUGGUUAUUUUGCACAAUGGUUGAGAAUUACAAAGUUGAGAAAUGAGGCACAGUCCGAAACAUUUUGACGAAAUAGCAUCUCCAAUUUCGGCAAGUUGUCCUUUCGGCAAAAUGUCCGUUCCGCAAAAUGUCCGUUAGGCGAAACGUCCGUUCGGCAAAACGUCCGUCGGCAAAAUGUCCGUUCGGCAAAAUGGUUUCGGCAAAAUGUCUUUCGGCAAAGUGUCUUUCGGCAAAAUGUCCGGGUACCCUAUUUACAAGUCAUGCAAGUAUUCAAGGACGGAGAACAGUCUUGAAAUUGUUAAUACAGAUUCAUUAAAAAAAUAAUUUAAAUUAAAAACAUGCAACUAUAGGUAUAUACCUGCAUAUAUCAAAUUUGUAUUUAAAUGUUUAACAAACUUUAAUCGACAUAAUGAGAACCUAGUAUAGUUUAAAUUUCUUCUGAAAUUAAAUUAAGGAAUAUCUGUGAAGUUUAUCUCUACUGAAUGACAGACCAUUGUCCUACAUUGCUGGAUAUAUUGCGAGUAAAGCUUGUGACAAAAACCGAACGACGCGUAUUGUGACAAAAACCGAACAAAGAAAAGCCAGUCCAACCAUGAAAUUCAAGCCUUAUUGCAAGUCAUGAAGUCAACUGAAGCGACAAAUACUUUAAUUUUUGCUCGAACCAGAGGUGAGCUUUAAUUGUAUGCCCAUGUGACGACUAAAGUCUUAAUUCAUGUUGUUGAAGUUGCUGAUUUAUCUUUCAGAGGUGAAAUCAACAAGAUCAAUGUCAAUGAUACAUUAAUAAGUACUGUAUACCUACAGAACGUUCAUUAACCUAUUUGUAAUUAGUGCUCUCGACUCUCCUGUUGUGAAGUGAUUAUGGGAGAACAUUGCUUUGUCUUCUGCCAGUGAGUUCUGUUCUAGGGUUGAGAGUUCAUCUGAAACUCAAAAAUUGUGCUUGGAAUAUAUUGUUAGAACUUGCAUAACAUGCCUACAUAAUUUAAUCCGGAAAUUGAGAAUUUUAUAAUUAAAAGAAUAAUCUUCUGAAUUUUUG